ensembl:lncRNA
AGAGAGCGUGUGUUGUUUAGUAGAAUGAAUCAGAUAGAGCGUGUGUGUUGUUUAGUAGAAUGAAUCAGAUAGAGCGUGUGUUGUUUAGUAGAAUGAAUCAGAUAGAGCGUGUGUUGUUUAGUAGAAUGAAUCAGAUAGAGCGUGUGUUGUUUAGUAGAAUGAAUCAGAUAGAAGUGUGUUGUUUAGAAUGAAUCAGAUAGAGCGAGUGUUGUUUAGUAGAAUGAAUCAGAUAGAGCGUGUGUGUGUUUAGUAGAAUGAAUCAGAUAGAGUGUGUUGUUUAGUAGAAUGAAUCAGAUAGAGCGAGUGUUGUUUAGUAGAAUGAAUCAGAUAGAGCGUGUGUGUGUUGUUUAAAUGAAUCAGAUAGAGCGUGUGUUGUUUAGUAGAAUGAAUCAGAUAGAGCGUUUGUGUUGUUUAGUAGAAUGAAUCAGAUAGAGCGUGUGUU